AGGACGAACGCUGGCGGCGUGCUUAACACAUGCAAGUCGAGCGGAAAGGCCCUUCGGGGUACUCGAGCGGCGAACGGGUGAGUAACACGUGAGCAACCUGCCCUCAGCUCUGGGAUAGCUCCCGGAAACGGGAAUUAAUACCGGAUAUGACCCUGACCGACAUCUGUCAGGGUGGAAAGGUUUACCGGCUGAGGAUGGACUCGCGGCCUAUCAGCUAGUUGGUGGGUAACGGCCUACCAAGGCGACGACGGGUA
rnacentral:rRNA from 1 species